ACUCCUACGGGAGGCAGCAGUGAGGAAUAUUGCGCAAUGGGGGCAACCCUGACGCAGCAACGCCGCGUGAGUGAGGAAGGUUUUCGGAUUGUAAAGCUCUGUCGAGCGGAAAGAAGUGCAUGGUGGUUAAUAUCCAUCAUGCUUGACGGUACCGCUAAAGGAAGCACCGGCUAACUCCGUGCCAGCAGCCGCGGUAAUACGGGGGGUGCAAGCGUUGUUCGGAAUCAUUGGGCGUAAAGCGCGUGUAGGCGGCUGGACAAGUCAGAUGUGAAAGCCCUGGGCUUAACCCAGGAAGUGCAUUUGAAACUGUUCAGCUAGAGUAAGGGAGAGGAAAGUGGAAUUCCUGGUGUAGAGGUGAAAUUCGUAGAUAUCAGGAGGAACACCGGUGGCGAAGGCGACUUUCUGGCCCUACACUGACGCUGAGACGCGAAAGCGUGGGUAGCAAACAGGAUUAGAUACCCUGGUAGUCCACGCUGUAAACGAUGUUCACUAGGUGUUGGGGGUAUUGACCCUUCCAGUGCCGCAGCUAACGCAUUAAGUGAACCGCCUGGGGAGUACGGUCGCAAGAUUAAAACUCAAAGGAAUUGACGGGG
rnacentral:rRNA from 1 species